rnacentral:rRNA from 2 species
AGAGUUUGAUCAUGGCUCAGAUUGAACGCUGGCGGCAGGCCUAACACAUGCAAGUCGAACGGUAACAGGAAGCAGCUUGCUGUUUUGCUGACGAGUGGCGGACGGGUGAGUAAUGUCUGGGAAACUGCCUGAUGGAGGGGGAUAACUACUGGAAACGGUAGCUAAUACCGCAUAAUGUCGCAAGACCAAAGAGGGGGACCUUCGGGCCUCUUGCCAUCGGAUGUGCCCAGAUGGGAUUAGCUAGUAGGUGGGGUAACGGCUCACCUAGGCGACGAUCCCUAGCUGGUCUGAGAGGAUGACCAGCCACACUGGAACUGAGACACGGUCCAGACUCCUACGGGAGGCAGCAGUGGGGAAUAUUGCACAAUGGGCGCAAGCCUGAUGCAGCCAUGCCGCGUGUAUGAAGAAGGCCUUCGGGUUGUAAAGUACUUUCAGCGGGGAGGAAGGGAGUAAAGUUAAUACCUUUGCUCAUUGACGUUACCCGCAGAAGAAGCACCGGCUAACUCCGUGCCAGCAGCCGCGGUAAUACGGAGGGUGCAAGCGUUAAUCGGAAUUACUGGGCGUAAAGCGCACGCAGGCGGUUUGUUAAGUCAGAUGUGAAAUCCCCGGGCUCAACCUGGGAACUGCAUCUGAUACUGGCAAGCUUGAGUCUCGUAGAGGGGGGUAGAAUUCCAGGUGUAGCGGUGAAAUGCGUAGAGAUCUGGAGGAAUACCGGUGGCGAAGGCGGCCCCCUGGACGAAGACUGACGCUCAGGUGCGAAAGCGUGGGGAGCAAACAGGAUUAGAUACCCUGGUAGUCCACGCCGUAAACGAUGUCGACUUGGAGGUUGUGCCCUUGAGGCGUGGCUUCCGGAGCUAACGCGUUAAGUCGACCGCCUGGGGAGUACGGCCGCAAGGUUAAAACUCAAAUGAAUUGACGGGGGCCCGCACAAGCGGUGGAGCAUGUGGUUUAAUUCGAUGCAACGCGAAGAACCUUACCUGGUCUUGACAUCCACGGAAGUUUUCAGAGAUGAGAAUGUGCCUUCGGGAACCGUGAGACAGGUGCUGCAUGGCUGUCGUCAGCUCGUGUUGUGAAAUGUUGGGUUAAGUCCCGCAACGAGCGCAACCCUUAUCCUUUGUUGCCAGCGGUCCGGCCGGGAACUCAAAGGAGACUGCCAGUGAUAAACUGGAGGAAGGUGGGGAUGACGUCAAGUCAUCAUGGCCCUUACGACCAGGGCUACACACGUGCUACAAUGGCGCAUACAAAGAGAAGCGACCUCGCGAGAGCAAGCGGACCUCAUAAAGUGCGUCGUAGUCCGGAUUGGAGUCUGCAACUCGACUCCAUGAAGUCGGAAUCGCUAGUAAUCGUGGAUCAGAAUGCCACGGUGAAUACGUUCCCGGGCCUUGUACACACCGCCCGUCACACCAUGGGAGUGGGUUGCAAAAGAAGUAGGUAGCUUAACCUUCGGGAGGGCGCUUACCACUUUGUGAUUCAUGACUGGGGUGAAGUCGUAACAAGGUAACCGUAGGGGAACCUGCGGUUG